rnacentral:rRNA from 1 species
UACGGAGGAUGCGAGCGUUAUCCGGAUUUAUUGGGUUUAAAGGGUGCGUAGGCGGCUUUUUAAGUCAGCGGUGAAAUUUUGCAGCUUAACUGUAACCAGUGCCGUUGAUACUGGGGAGCUAGGACUUGGUUGCUGUGGGUGGAAUGUGUUGUGUAGCGGUGAAAUGCUUAGAGAUCACACAGAAUAUCGAUUGCGAAGGCAGCUCACAAAGCCAAGAUUGACGCUGAGGCACGAAAGUGUGGGAUCAAACAGGAUUA